rnacentral:rRNA from 1 species
UACACUCCUACGGGAGGCAGCAGUGGGGAAUUUUGGACAAUGGGCGAAAGCCUGAUCCAGCAAUGCCGCGUGUGUGAAGAAGGCCUUCGGGUUGUAAAGCACUUUUGUCCGGAAAGAAAUCCUUGGCUCUAAUACAGUCGGGGGAUGACGGUACCGGAAGAAUAAGCACCGGCUAACUACGUGCCAGCAGCCGCGGUAAUACGUAGGGUGCGAGCGUUAAUCGGAAUUACUGGGCGUAAAGCGUGCGCAGGCGGUUUGCUAAGACCGAUGUGAAAUCCCCGGGCUCAACCUGGGAACUGCAUUGGUGACUGGCAGGCUAGAGUAUGGCAGAGGGGGGUAGAAUUCCACGUGUAGCAGUGAAAUGCGUAGAGAUGUGGAGGAAUACCGAUGGCGAAGGCAGCCCCCUGGGCCAAUACUGACGCUCAUGCACGAAAGCGUGGGGAGCAAACAGGAUUAGAAACCCCAGUAGUCCCA